rnacentral:lncRNA from 1 species
UUUUUAUCGCUUGUCCGGUGCUCGUUGUGGUCGCGCGUUCGGUGCUAGCGCCGACGCAACCGAGGGAUCGUGUGCUUUCGCGGCGGCGUCACGAGAACCCGGGCCAAAAAGGACAGGCCCAAAGAAAAAAGAGGGAGGGCGCCGACGUCACGCCCUCGGCGGGUUUCUCGCAGCCUCAUCUUUUCCUUUUGUUUCUUUUCUUCUUGCCAGACAAAGAGAAAAGGUCGCGGGGCAGGCGGGCUCGGCUCACCCUGGCGAGAAGAGGAAAAAGAGGCGGCAGAUCACAAACAGCUUGCGGCAGUAUGCGCGAUGGGCGCCGGCCACACAAGGAGCGAAAGGAGCACCCCCAAGACAAGAAAAGGUCUUGAAAAAGAGAGGGCCUUGGCGGCAUCGCGGCACUUUGCAACAAGACCACCGGGGGAAAAGAGGCGUCCAAAGAAAAAAAGAAGACCAAAGAAAAGGUGACGCCGCCACCGUGUGCGUCUCCGGACGGCCAGCGGCCCGCCCCUUUUCUUUAUGCCCUGUUGUUUGUCGCCUUUCUUUUGCAAUUCUUUUUCCCCUCAUUUCCGUUCCCGAGUACAGAAACACAAAAGGCGAAUAGGAAAAAAGUAAAGAGGCGGAGAAAACAACGCCAGGGGAAUAGGCAGAGGAAGAAAAGAGGAACUAGGGUGGGCAACUGGCAGACACGCCGAGGGCCGUUUCGCAGAGGGCGUCGUCGGCAACGGCGUGACACGCAUCCAAGAGUGCUGAUGGGGCGGUCGCUGCCCCUGCUUCGCAUUGACACAGGGCGAGUGCGCGUGCCACAAACCCGGCCACGCGGUCUCCGACAUGGACCAGCGCCGCGUCGAGCGAUCCCAUGUUGGGCGGCAACGUCGCCGCCUGCAUAAAGAGGCACGCCGUGCCGGCGUUUGACACCCAUUCAGGCACCGUCCAUACGUUGUUGUCGUCGAGAAACCUUUUAAACGCCUUUGGAUCACGCGCAAUGUUGUUGGCGCCGCUCGCCACGUAGGCGCGAGGCACGACGCCUUGGGUGCCAUUUUCAUGGUGAUGGCGGCGACGCCGCGCAACCGCGGCGGCCAAGGCCUCGGUGGUGCUCGGGCUCAUCACGUAGCGCUGGGCGCACGGGGCAAACACAUCCACACCUCCACUGCACGCGUCGAGAAAGCGCGCCAGCCACGCAUCGCCAUCCUCGUCGGUGCCUCGUGCGGUCAACGCCACAUACUCGUCAUUGUGCGCCCCGUCGCCAAAGCAAUCUGCCAAUUGUGCGCUGCCCGUUGGCGCAUGCUGCUGGCGCCGUGCCACGAGCGCAUGGACAUCGACGCCGUCGGCGCGCACGACGAAAUGAUCGCGAUCGGCGAUGGCCACGAUGCGAGCCCCGAGCGUACGGGCAUAUAGAGCAAACGUGCUGCCCACCGUGCCAAAGCCUUGCACGGCGACGUCGAGACCACGGAGAGGCGCACCCGAGCCGCCGCCUUUUUCGUUGCCUUUGGCGUGAGCCAGCGCUGCGAGCGCGCGCGCCACGCCAUAGCCGACUGCAGCUUCGGCGAUCGCGAGACGGGGCGAGCGCGCAGACGCCACAUCCCCCUCGGUCGGGUGCACGGCGACGACGGACCCAUGUAGGAGCAUUUCGGGACGCGCCUCGGGGUGUCUUUGGGCGAGCGCAUGCAGGCAAUGGGGUAUGCCGACAUGCCUCUGUGCCAAGGCGUCGAGCACGGCAUGGUCCGUAUUGAGAUCGGCCCCCGUGGCCCAGGCGUCGCGGAUGACGGCAGCGUGGGCGGCCAUGAAUCGACCCACGACAUCGUUCACGUCGGGCGCCGACGGAUCGUAACGUACGCCGCCCUUGGCGCCGCGCACGGUACCGGCCGCGCACGUGACACGCAAUUUGCGCGCCAUGCUCCGCGCCACGUCGACCACCUCGGCCUCGGUGGUCGCCGGCGAAACAAAGAGACCGCCUCCGCCGACGGGAGGCAGGCGCGGGUCGUCUUCGAUGGCGAUCCAUCCGACAGCGGGUGUCAGCGCGUCGCGCCACUCGUAGACGGCCACCGGCGGUUGGCCGGGGACGGCGGAUGGGCGCGCACCCGGCGGCAGGCUCUUGUCCACCGCGCCGGUGGCCGGUGCCGCGUGUGCGACAAUAGUGGUCAUUUUUUUCUUACCCCUGCGAAACUCCCUGUGUAUUUGUGAUUGCGACUCGAUCGGCUCCGUUGUGGACGCGGUCGUGCUGGUGGCCAGGUUCUUUUUUUAGACUGCUCCAAAGACGGAACCUGUCGCUCGGGAGCGUCGGCGCGCGCCGCUUUUAGCGCGCUUUUUUUGGACGCACCGCACGGUCAGAGAUCGUCGCGUUUUAGGGAAAAAAACACAGACAUUGCGCGUUGCGGCGUGGCGCACAGCGCGCUCACGACGGACAGACAGGCACAGCCGAUGGCGCUCAUUUCCAUUUUUUGGGCUGAGUGGACGCACAUCCUGCAUCGCGGGGAAUGCGCUCUUUUCCCGUGCCUCGCGGGUCGCGCAUACGCACGCGAUGCUUGCACAUAUCUUUUGCCGUGUUUCGGCUGGCCCUUUGAGGCUGCUGCUCUCUUUUUUUUGUAAAAGAGACAAAGCCGUCGUGGCGGUGCCGCGGCGCGCGCAUAGGCAAGAC